rnacentral:rRNA from 1 species
UACGAAGGGGGCUAGCGUUGCUCGGAAUGACUGGGCGUAAAGGGCGCGUAGGCGGAUGGUACAGUCAGAUGUGAAAUUCCUGGGCUCAACCUGCGGGCUGCAUUUGAUACGUGCUGUCUUGAGUUCGGAAGAGGGUCGUGGAAUUCCCAGUGUAGAGGUGAAAUUCGUAGAUAUUGGGAAGAACACCGGUGGCGAAGGCGGCGACCUGGUCCGAUACUGACGCUGAGGCGCGAAAGCGUGGGGAGCAAACAGG